AUUGAACGCUGGCGGCAUGCCUAACACAUGCAAGUCGAACGGCAGCACAGCCCGCAAGGGUGGGUGGCGAGUGGCGGACGGGUGAGGAAUACAUGGGAAUCUACCCUGUCGUGGGGGAUAACGUAGGGAAACUUACGCUAAUACCGCAUACGACCGAGAGGUGAAAGCGGCGGACCGCAAGGCGUCGCGCGGCUGGAUGAGCCCAUGUCGGAUUAGCUAGUUGGCGGGGUAAAGGCCCACCAAGGCGACGAUCCGUAGCUGGUCUGAGAGGUUGAUCAGCCACACUGGAACUGAGACACGGUCCAGACUCCUACGGGAGGCAGCAGUGGGGAAUAUUGGACAAUGGGCGCAAGCCUGAUCCAGCAAUGCCGCGUGGGUGAAGAAGGCCUUCGGGUUGUAAAGCCCUUUUGUACGGGAAGAAAUCCUGCCGGUUAAUACCCGGCGGGGAUGACGGUACCGUAAGAAUAAGCACCGGCUAACUUCGUGCCAGCCGCCGCAGUAAAAC
rnacentral:rRNA from 1 species